rnacentral:rRNA from 1 species
GACGAACGCUGGCGGUGUGCUUAACACAUGCAAGUCGAACGGAGAUUCAGCAAUGGAUCUUAGUGGCGAACGGGUGAGUAACGCGUAGGCAAUCUGCCUUCUAGAUGGGGACAACAUCCCGAAAGGGGUGCUAAUACCGAAUGUUGUAGUUGGUUCGCAUGGACUAGCUACUAAAGGUGGCCUCUGAAUAUGCUACCGCUAGAAGAUGAGCCUGCGUCUGAUUAGCUAGUUGAGGGGUAACGGCCCACCAAGGCUUCGAUCAGUAGCCGGUCUGAGAGGAUGAACGGCCACACUGGGACUGAGACACGGCCCAGACUCCUACGGGAGGCAGCAGUGGGGAAUCUUCCGCAAUGGACGAAAGUCUGACGGAGCAACGCCGCGUGAGUGAAGAAGGUUUUCGGAUCGUAAAGCUCUUUCGUUAGGGACGAACAUGCUCUUUGUGAAUAAUGAGGAGUAAUGACGGUACCUAAAUAAGAAGCCACGGCUAACUACGUGCCAGCCGCCGCUGUAAUAC